rnacentral:rRNA from 1 species
GCCCUUAGAGUUUGAUCCUGGCUCAGAUUGAACGCUGGCGGCAUGCCUAACACAUGCAAGUCGAGCGGCAGCGCGGGGAAGCUUGCUUCCCUGGCGGCGAGCGGCGGACGGGUGAGUAACGCGUGGGAAUUUACCCUUCGGUGGGGGAUAGCCCGGGGAAACUCGGAUUAAUACCGCAUACGCCCUACGGGGGAAAGUGGGCCUCUGAUGCAAGCUCACGCCGAAGGAUGAGCCCGCGUCCGAUUAGCUAGUUGGUGGGGUAAAGGCCUACCAAGGCGACGAUCGGUAGCUGGUUUGAGAGGAUGAUCAGCCACACUGGGACUGAGACACGGCCCAGACUCCUACGGGAGGCAGCAGUGGGGAAUAUUGGACAAUGGGCGAAAGCCUGAUCCAGCAAUGCCGCGUGUGUGAAGAAGGCCUGCGGGUUGUAAAGCACUUUCAUCGGGGAGG